rnacentral:rRNA from 1 species
CGCCCCUUGUUAGUAACUAGAAAUCGUUUAUUAUAGAUAGUUUUUAAGAUAGGGGGUCUGACCUGCCCGGUGACGUGAAGUUAAACGGCUGCGAUUUUAGAUCGUACUAAGGUAGCGUAAUAAUUUGCCCUUUAAUUGGGGGCUUGCAUGAAUGGUUUGACGAGAGCCAAGCUGUCUCUUUUUAAAUUUUUAGAAAUUAACUUUCAGGUGAAGAGGCCUGAUAUUUUACUGAGGGACGAGAAGACCCUAUUGAGCUUAAGCGAAAUAAUAACUCUUUAUGUGAAGAAGUAGUCAAACGUGAAUAGAAUGAAUUCUUUUUUAUUAGUUAGAAAUUUAAAGAAUUUAUUAUUAAUCUUUAGCUGGGACGGCUGGGGAAUAUAAAUAACUUCCUUGAGCAUAAUUACCAAUGCAGGUUUCGUGUUAAUAAGGACCCAAUUAUUAUUGAUCAACGGAAGAAGUUACCAUAGGGAUAACAGCGUGAUCUCUCUAGAGAGCUCUUAUCGAAGGAGAGGGUUACGACCUCGAUGUUGGACUAAGAUAUCCCGGGGGCGAAGAAGCUCCCGAUGGUUGGUCUGUUCGACCAUUAAAAUCUUACA